GGAAUAUUGCACAAUGGGGGAAACCCUGAUGCAGCGACGCCGCGUGAGUGAAGAAGUAUUUCGGUACGUAAAGCUCUAUCAGUAGGGAAGAAAAAAAGUCCUUUGGACUUUGGACGGUACCUGACCAAGAAGCCCCGGCUAACUACGUGCCAGCAGCCGCGGUAAUACGUAGGGGGCAAGCGUUAUCCGGAUUUACUGGGUGUAAAGGGAGCGUAGACGGCAGCGCAAGUCUGGAGUGAAAUGCCGGGGCUCAACCCCGGAACUGCUUUGGAAACUGUGCAGCUAGAGUGCGGGAGAGGCAAGCGGAAUUCCGAGUGUAGCGGUGAAAUGCGUAGAUAUUCGGAGGAACACCAGUGGCGAAGGCGGCUUGCUGGGCUCUAACUGACGCUGAGGCUCGAAAGUGUGGGGAGCAA
rnacentral:rRNA from 1 species